UACGUAGGGGGCAAGCGUUAUCCGGAUUUACUGGGUGUAAAGGGAGCGUAGGCGGCUUAGUAAGUCAGAAGUGAAAGCCCGCAGCUCAACUGCGGGACUGCUUUUGAAACUGUGUGACUGGAGUGCAGGAGAGGUAAGCGGAAUUCCUGGUGUAGCGGUGAAAUGCGUAGAUAUCAGGAGGAACACCAGUGGCGAAGGCGGCUUACUGGACUGUAACUGACGUUGAGGCUCGAAAGCGUGGGGAGCAAACAGG
rnacentral:rRNA from 1 species